UGCAUCCUGCACAGCUAGAGGUCCUU
rnacentral:piRNA from 1 species